AACGUGAAUAAAAGAUUCCAAAGCCACUUCUCUCUGCACAGUUACCUCUCCUUCUACGCCUCAUCCUCUUUAUUCUCAAGGUCACAGGUUAGAAAGGUGACUAGUACACUCUAAUGUCUGUUGGGAGAUUCUAUUUCAAAUGGCAUUUGACACAAGAGAGCACAAUGUUAUAAUGUUGGAUAAUGUGUUCUUUUAAUAGCUUUCUGGGA
rnacentral:misc_RNA from 1 species